UUUUCCCUGCCAUGUUUGUGUGCACUUGGUAAUAUUAGAACCAUUACAAGAUUAUUGGGAACCUGACUUUAGCCGGCUCUUGGGCUGGUUAAGCGGGUGCCCACCUGGAAACCGGGUUCAGUAAUCGUCAAGUGUCUACGGCUAUGAGCGGGGAAUUU
rnacentral:other from 1 species